UUAAGCGACUAAGCGUACACGGUGGAUGCCCUGGCAGUCAGAGGCGAUGAAGGACGUGCUAAUCUGCGAAAAGCGUCGGUAAGGUGAUAUGAACCGUUAUAACCGGCGAUGUCCGAAUGGGGAAACCCAGUGUGAUUCGUCACACUAUCGUUAACUGAAUACAUAGGUUAACGAGGCGAACCGGGGGAACUGAAACAUCUAAGUACCCCGAGGAAAAGAAAUCAACCGAGAUUCCCCCAGUAGCGGCGAGCGAACGGGGAGCAGCCCAGAGUCUGAAUCAGCUUGUGUGUUAGUGGAACGGUCUGGAAAGUCCGACGGUACAGGGUGAUAGUCCCGUACACCAAAAUGCACAGGYUGUGAACUCGAAGAGUAGGGCGGGACACGUGGUAUCCUGUCUGAAUAUGGGGGGACCAUCCUCCAAGGCUAAAUACUCCUGACUGACCGAUAGUGAACCAGUACCGUGAGGGAAAGGCGAAAAGAACCCCGGCGAGGGGAGUGAAAAAGAACCUGAAACCGUGUACGUACAAGCAGUGGGAGCACCUUCGGGUGUGACUGCGUACCUUUUGUAUAAUGGGUCAGCGACUUAUAUUCUGUAGCAAGGUUAACCGUAUAGGGGAGCCGCAGGGAAACCGAGUCUUAACUGGGCGUUAAGUUGCAGGGUAUAGACCCGAAACCCGGUGAUCUAGCCAUGGGCAGGUUGAAGGUUGGGUAACACUAACUGGAGGACCGAACCGACUAAUGUUGAAAAAUUAGCGGAUGACUUGUGGCUGGGGGUGAAAGGCCAAUCAAACCGGGAGAUAGCUGGUUCUCCCCGAAAGCUAUUUAGGUAGCGCCUCGUGAACUCAUCUUCGGGGGUAGAGCACUGUUUCGGCUAGGGGGUCAUCCCGACUUACCAACCCGAUGCAAACUACGAAUACCGAAGAAUGUUAUCACGGGAGACACACGGCGGGUGCUAACGUCCGUCGUGAAGAGGGAAACAACCCAGACCGCCAGCUAAGGUCCCAAAGUCAUGGUUAAGUGGGAAACGAUGUGGGAAGGCACAGACAGCCAGGAUGUUGGCUUAGAAGCAGCCAUCAUUUAAAGAAAGCGUAAUAGCUCACUGGUCGAGUCGGCCUGCGCGGAAGAUGUAACGGGGCUAAACCAUGCACCGAAGCUGCGGCAGCGACACUAUGUGUUGUUGGGUAGGGGAGCGUUCUGUAAGCCUGCGAAGGUGWSCUGUGAGGSWUGCUGGAGGUAUCAGAAGUGCGAAUGCUGACAUAAGUAACGAUAAAGCGGGUGAAAAGCCCGCUCGCCGGAAGACCAAGGGUUCCUGUCCAACGUUAAUCGGGGCAGGGUGAGUCGACCCCUAAGGCGAGGCCGAAAGGCGUAGUCGAUGGGAAACAGGUUAAUAUUCCUGUACUUGGUGUUACUGCGAAGGGGGGACGGAGAAGGCUAUGUUAGCCGGGCGACGGUUGUCCCGGUUUAAGCAUGUAGGCUGAUUGUCCAGGCAAAUCCGGAUAAUCAAGGCUGAGGUGUGAUGACGAGGCACUACGGUGCUGAAGUAACAAAUGCCCUGCUUCCAGGAAAAGCCUCUAAGCAUCAGGUAACAUYAAAUCGUACCCCAAACCGACACAGGUGGUCAGGUAGAGAAUACCAAGGCGCUUGAGAGAACUCGGGUGAAGGAACUAGGCAAAAUGGUGCCGUAACUUCGGGAGAAGGCACGCUGGUGUGUAGGUGAAGYCCCUGCGGAUGGAGCUGAGACCAGUCGAAGAUACCAGCUGGCUGCAACUGUUUAUUAAAAACACAGCACUGUGCAAACACGAAAGUGGACGUAUACGGUGUGACGCCUGCCCGGUGCCGGAAGGUUAAUUGAUGGGGUUAUCCGUAAGGAGAAGCUCUUGAUCGAAGCCCCGGUAAACGGCGGCCGUAACUAUAACGGUCCUAAGGUAGCGAAAUUCCUUGUCGGGUAAGUUCCGACCUGCACGAAUGGCGUAAUGAUGGCCAGGCUGUCUCCACCCGAGACUCAGUGAAAUUGAACUCGCUGUGAAGAUGCAGUGUACCCGCGGCAAGACGGAAAGACCCCGUGAACCUUUACUAUAGCUUGACACUGAACAUUGAGCCUUGAUGUGUAGGAUAGGUGGGAGGCUUUGAAGCGUGGACGCCAGUCUGCGUGGAGCCAACCUUGAAAUACCACCCUUUAAUGUUUGAUGUUCUAACGUUGGCCCCUGACCGGGGUUGCGGACAGUGUCUGGUGGGUAGUUUGACUGGGGCGGUCUCCUCCCAAAGCGUAACGGAGGAGCACGAAGGUUAGCUAAUCCUGGUCGGACAUCAGGAGGUUAGUGCAAUGGCAUAAGCUAGCUUGACUGCGAGCGUGACGGCGCGAGCAGGUGCGAAAGCAGGUCAUAGUGAUCCGGUGGUUCUGAAUGGAAGGGCCAUCGCUCAACGGAUAAAAGGUACUCCGGGGAUAACAGGCUGAUACCGCCCAAGAGUUCAUAUCGACGGCGGUGUUUGGCACCUCGAUGUCGGCUCAUCACAUCCUGGGGCUGAAGUAGGUCCCAAGGGUAUGGCUGUUCGCCAUUUAAAGUGGUACGCGAGCUGGGUUUAGAACGUCGUGAGACAGUUCGGUCCCUAUCUGCCGUGGGCGCUGGAGAAUUGAGGGGGGCUGCUCCUAGUACGAGAGGACCGGAGUGGACGCAUCACUGGUGUUCGGGUUGUCAUGCCAAUGGCACUGCCCGGUAGCUAAAUGCGGAAGAGAUAAGUGCUGAAAGCAUCUAAGCACGAAACUUGCCCCGAGAUGAGUUCUCCCUGAGACUUUAAGUCUCCUGAAGGAACGUUGAAGACGACGACGUUGAUAGGCCGGGUGUGUAAGCGCAGCGAUGCGUUGAGCUAACCGGUACUAAUGAACCGUGAGGCUUAACCU
rnacentral:rRNA from 1 species